UUGCAGUGAUGACCAUCUUAGGACACCUUUGGAAUAACCAUGAAAACACAAUUAUAUUCUGAGCAAC
ensembl:snoRNA SNORD58 Small nucleolar RNA SNORD58